rnacentral:rRNA from 1 species
UACGUAGGGACCAAGCGUUGUUCGGAUUUACUGGGCGUAAAGGGCGCGUAGGCGGCAUGACAAGUCACUUGUGAAAUCUCUGGGCUUAACCCAGAACGGCCAAGUGAUACUGUCACGCUAGAGUGCGGAAGGGGCAAUCGGAAUUCUUGGUGUAGCGGUGAAAUGCGUAGAUAUCAAGAGGAACACCUGAGGUGAAGACGGGUUGCUGGGCCGACACUGACGCUGACAGCGCGAAAGCCAGGGGAGCAAACGGG